rnacentral:lncRNA from 1 species
GAAGUAUCAACUGACUGUUCCAGGAAACUCUCCAAAUUGGCUUAUAAUUCAUGCAAAACAACAUGCUGCAAUGUUCUGAUGAAAUGCUCCUCUACAGUCGAGGCUCCCAGAAGGCAGAGAGCAUAUUCAUUAACUCAUUCUGCUCAACACUUAGCUCAUGUCCAUGGAGAGAUGUUGAAUAUGAGCUCCUAUUAAAAAGAGGGGAUACAAUCAAUCAUUUGAGAAUGUCCAAAAAGAACUUUUCCUUUCCAUCGAGCCUUACAAAUUAUUCUAAGAUUGUUUCUGUAAAUACCAUGUAAU